ensembl:misc_RNA Metazoa_SRP Metazoan signal recognition particle RNA
GCUGGGUGCGGUGGCAUGUGCCUGUAGUCCCAGCUACUUGGGAGUCUGAGGUGGGAGGAUUGCUUGAUCCCAGGAGUUCUGGGAUGCAGUGUGCUAUGCUGAUCAGGUAUCCACACUAAGUUCGGCAUCAAUAUGGUGUCCUCCCGGGAGCGGAGGACCACCAGGUUGCUUAAGGAGGGGUGAACCAGCCAAGUUCAGAAAUGGAGCAGGUCAAAACUUCUGUGCUGAUCAGUAGGGGGAUUGUGCCUGUGAAUAGCCGCUGCACUCCAGCCUGGGCAACAUAGUGAGACCCCGUCUCUA